ensembl:lincRNA
GGCAAGUUACAGUUUUCAGAAUCCAAGUGGAAUCUAACACUAUGAAACAAUGCCAAGAGAAAAGCAAGAAAAACGAAAAACUAAAGGAGCACCCCUGCCCAUUGUUUCCACUCUUCAAAAGUUUCUGAAAACAUACGAGAAGCGUUGUGUACAGACUCAGACGUCUGUGUGUCCAGCCAUCAAAAGGGACUUGAAAGCCAGCAUCAACCAUGAACGGAUUCUCAGGAAGUUUGUGCUGGUAAGACCUGAUGACUCCCUGCCAGGCAUCCUACCAAUUUCCUUGGAACCUUUGCUCAUGACUGUUCGGGAUGAGUGUUACAUGCUGGGGAGAGAGAUCUGCAUCUGGGGCUUUCAACUGAGCAACCAAGAGAUAGCCAGACUUGCUUCGCUUCUAGAAUCGAAGGGGCACACCCGCUGCCCAUUUACCACCCUGGAACUCAUUGACUGCAAGAUGGAUCCAUGGUCUCUGGGGAGGCUUGGGCAGGCUUUGUGUCUCAGCAGUCUGCAUGUUCUCGUCCUCGACUACUGCAAAUUUACACAUGAAGAAAUUGAGAGUAUUCUCUCAGGCCUGGAGAACAACCAAAGGCUUCAAAGCCUCAGUCUGCGCUACUGUAGUCUGGGGCCACAGAAUGGAUCGAGGCUGGGCUCCAUCGUAUGCCACAGUGCCAUUCGUGAGCUACACCUCGGUGGCAAUUACUUGCAAUGUUCUGGAGCUCUGGGUCUCCUCAGACCCCUGGCAGAGUAUGCAGAGAUGCAGGGGAAAGACCAACUGGCCACUUCCUCACCAGACACCAGGAACCCCCCUCAACUGCUCCAAGCCAUCCAGAGAGGAAGUUCACCUUUGAACCAGAUUACAGAGUCAUCCAGGGCUGUAACAGUGAAACCUACCUCAGGGAAGAAGAGAAAAAAAGGAAUCAAGAAAAAAAUUAAAGAUUUGAUUGAAACUGGUCCUUGGUUAGUGAAGUUGUAUUUGGCAGAUAAUGGCAUAGAUGGAAAGGGAAAAGAAGGAGAAAAUGACUUGUUGGAAUUCACUCAAAUACUAACAUGCCUGAUCAAAUACUCUGCCCACUUAGAGGAGAUUGACCUUGGAAACAAUGCCCUGGGAGAAAAGGCUGCUGUUGACCUACUUGAAGCACUGAGAGCCAGAAAGACAGGUAAACUGCCAGUUUUAAAAAUUACAGUCACUCCCCAGAUCUCUUCAGACACCUUCAGAUCUAUUUGGAAAAACAGCAAGAAAUCUAGUAUCACCCAUAAAAAGAAGAAAAAGGCUAAAAACUGAAUACGAAUGCCAUGUAUCCAUAUGGAUUCUAUCUAUUUCCAUGGACAACGAGAUGUGCCUGGAAAAAUAUUGCUUAUAACCAAGUAUCACUAUAACCAAGCCCUUUUCAAGUUCUAAAAUUUGAUAAGACUCUUUUAUGAAAGUUCAGAAUAGCAUUAGUCUUAUCAUGCUUAUCAUUUUCUAAAAUGCGGGUUUCACAAACAGGUCUUAGUAAAAAUAAGUGGAAUUCUUCUCUGGGGCUCUUGUGCAUGUGAAGUUUAUAAUUUGAAGGAAGUCAUGAUCUUUAUCUAGAAAAGAAAAAAAUCUUCUUUCAUAAAUAUAUCUAUGGUUGGGAACAACAGGAAUUUGGGAAAUAAUAACCACUUUCUGAAAGACAACAUCUCUAACAAUAGGGAUCUUACCCCAAAUGAGGAAACCUCCGCUUACUGCAACCUGUACCUGCAUUAAAGUUUCAGACAGCUCCAUGGGAAAUGGAAGAGGUGUCAUGGAUCAAUAUAUUGAUGAUAAAUUGGGUUUGUUAAAUUGUACAUGUUGCAGGGAUAAAAAGCGUAGAUUGGGCAAUUAAAAUGAAACCAAAAUUCUCUGUGGAAACCUGCUGCUUUUCAGGUGACCUUGGGCAGGUCGGUUACCCUCACUGUGCCUCAGUUUCUCCUUACAUAAGACACAGAUAAGAAGAGCACAUAUUCAUUUGGUGAGCACUGAAUGAGGGUGACACAUGUCAAGUAUUUUAAGAUAAUACCUGUUUCACUGUAUGUUUUCAAAAAUUAAUAUUAAUGACUGGUAUUAUUGCUGAUGUUAGAAUUGAGUGAUUCCAGUUAUUUCACUUACAACAGCUACACAAAGAAAUAGGAAAAAAAAAAAAGGCUUAAGAUCUCUUCAUUUAGCACUUAGAAACUGCCAUUGAUUCUAUGUAUAAUGUAACAAGUUCUGAUAUGUUCCAGGCAAAAAUCUAAUUGUGGAGGUGAGGAUGGUUAUGGUAAAUUAUGUCCUCUCUUGAGGAUCUUAGCACCUAGGAAGGAAGUCAAGAUCCUCAUACAUAAAAGUAAACAUUAGGGCAUGAGUUGAAAUAGUCAGGGUAAGCAAGCCUAUGGAAUAGUGACAGCAACUUAACAAAUCUCCAGAACUUAUAUAUCCAAUGUGUAAGAUGUGUGAGGCUUCCUGAUAAAUUGUUUCUGCUAAAAAAAAAAAAAUAGAACUUUUUAAAGAUUUGCCACUGACAUCCACUGGAUGGGAGUGUAAAAUCUGUGUGUUCAUUUAGGUGUAUUUUGACAAAAGAGUCGGACACGACUGAGCGACUGAACUGAACUGACCAUGUCUAUCAAAAUGAAAAACAAACAAACAAAUCAUAGCCUUGACUCAGGCACGCAUACAUUUAGGGGUCUUUUGACAAUGUUUAUCAAAGUGAAAAAAAACAUAGCCUUGACUUAGGCAUGCAUACAUAUUUCCUUGCACGUGUCUGGGAGUAUAUCAAUCUAUAGAAAUAUGUAUAUAUAUAUAUAUAUGUAUAGAAGUAUGCAUAUAGAAAUAUCUAAGGAAAUAUGUAUUAAGAUGUUCACAGCAGCACUAUUAAUUAUACACUGGAAACAACUAAAUGUCUCUCAACUGGUUCUCAGAGACAUAAGUCACAGGAAAUGUAUAUAGUGGAAUACUGUGCAGUCAUUAGGAAGAACAACGUGGAUGUGGAAGUGCUUAUGUGGAGAGAUGCGUUAGUCAUACUAUUAAACAGAAAGAGCAGCCUGGAGAAUAGUGAAUGUGAAAACUUCACAUUGAAAUGAACUGGCAUAAUAUGAGUUGGCAAUUUCAUCUCUGGGUUUACAUGUUCAAAAAAAUGGAAAGCAAGAUCACGAAGAGAUAAUUGUACACCUAUGUUCAUAAAGUGUUAGUCAUCAUAAUUAAAUGAUAGAAGCAACCCAUGUAUCCACUGAUGGAUGACUAGAUAAGCAAAAUGUGGUAAACACAUACAAUGGAAUAGUAUUCAGUUUUAAAAAGGAAGGAAAUUCUGACACACGCUACAGCAUGGAUGAGCCUGGAGGACUUUAUGCUGUGUACCCCAGUUACAAAAAGACAAACACUGUAUAAUUCCAAUUAUGUGACGUAUGUAGAUUACUCAAACUCAGAAACAGAAAGGAAACUGGUGGGUGCCAGAGGGACAAGGGCGAAAUGCAGAGUUGUUUAAUGGGCAUGGAAUACAGUUUCAGUUUGGGAAGAUGAAAAAGUUCUAGAGAUUGGUUGAUAACAGUGUGAAUGUACUUAAUGCUUCUGAACUAUCCACACUUAAAAAUGGUUAGGAUGGGGGUUUCCCUGGUGGCUCAAGGGGAAAAGAAUCCACCCGCCAAUGAAAGAGCCAAUGGUUCGAUCCCUGAUCCAGGAAUAUCCCACAUGCCGUGGAGCCACUAAGCCCAUGCACCCCAACUACUGAACCUAUGUUCUAGAGCCCAGGAGUCACGACUACUGAAGCCCUUGCACCCGAGAGUCUGUGCUACACAGCAAGAGAAGCCCCUGCAAUGAGAAGCCCAUGCACUGCAACCAGAAUAGCCCCUGCCUGCAAUGAAGACCCAGCACAGCCAAAAAUAAAUAAAUAAAUUUUAAACCUUUAGGAUGGUAAACUCUAUGUUAUAUAUAUUUUUAAGUUUUAAAAUGAGUUGAUGUGUUACAUGUCUGCUAGUAUAUAUGUAGCAAUUUCUGAAGAGUCUCUUAACAGUACUUGCUUUUUUCCCAUUGGAUACUCAAUUUACUAUUUUAAGGUUUUUAUCAUUUAUGAGCUGUCAAUUAAAAAAAAAAACAACCUUACUAUUGUUUGAUGAACAUCAGUAAUAGCACUUUGGGGUGGUUAUAUGACCUGGUGCCAAAAGAGAGGAAGAAAAACAGUAAGUGCAAUGUGUCAUGAUUUUUCUGGGAGGAAUGAAUAGUGGCAAAGAAUGGUCACUAAGGACAACAGGAUGAGUGAGUUUUUCCUCAGUGUAGAAGCAAUGUAGCUGGAACAGGUAGAGAGAUGUUCUGACCAAUUUCAGACAUGUUAAAAUGUGAGGGUGGAAAAAAAGACAGUCCUCGGUGUGUUUGGAUGCCUGAGCUAACUAAUCUGAUGAGGGUCUCAGUGAGGAGUGCUUAGGAAAUGACACUGGAAAAGUGGAUUGGUGCUAUACUGUCGCAGGAUUUAAGGGACCAACUGGCACAUUUAGAUUUUGCUGUAAUGAUAACACAGAGCCGUGGAACAUUUUGAGCAGGAGAGUGCUGGGUGGGGGGGAAAGGAGUAUAGGAAAAUUGAACAGGCACUUUAGAUUGAAUGCUAGAGUGGGGAGCAGAGAUAGGAAGGAAGUCAGGACACAAUAAUCCAGGGACAGGGAGGUGAGGUUCAGACUCAACACCAACAGGUACCACUCCUUCUUAAUCAUCCUCUGGCCUUUCAUCCAAGGUCCCUCUUUUUCUCUUCCAAACUGCCCAGUUCCCACCAACUGGGGCAUUUUUAUCCUCUUCUGGUUCCAGUCUUUUUUUUUUUUUUAAUUAAUUAUCUAGCAUUUAUAGUCAUUAUAAUCAAGAUUGCUGGGAGAAAUAUCAAUAACCUCAGAUAUGCAGAUGACACCACCCUUAUGGCAGAAAGUGAAGAGGAACUAAAAAGCCUCUUGAUGAAAGUG